rnacentral:rRNA from 1 species
UACGUAGGGUGCAAGCGUUGUCCGGAAUUAUUGGGCGUAAAGAGCUCGUAGGCGGUUUGUCGCGUCGGCUGUGAAAUCCCGAGGCUCAACCUCGGGCCUGCAGUCGAUACGGGCAAACUAGAGUGUGGUAGGGGAGACUGGAAUUCCUGGUGUAGCGGUGAAAUGCGCAGAUAUCAGGAGGAACACUGGCGGCGAAGGCGGGUCUCUGGGCCAUAACUGACGCUGAGGAGCGAAAGCGUGGGGAGCGAACAGG